AGAGUUUGAUUCUGGCUCAGAACGAACGCUGGCAGCGCGGAUGAGGCAUGCAAGUCGAACGGGAUCCGGAGAGUAGCAAUACAAUCCGGUGAGAGUGGCGUAAGGGUGAGGAACACGUGGGCAACCUGUCCUGAAGUUGGGGAUAACCUGCCGAAAGGCGGGCUAAUACCGAAUGUGGUUGUCCCGGGCAUCCGGGACGGACUGAAGGUGGGGACUCUUCGGAACCUAUCGCUUCAGGAGGGGCCCGCGUCCCAUCAGCUAGUUGGUGAGGUAACGGCCCACCAAGGCUUACGGGUAGCUGGUCUGAGAGGAUGGUCAGCCACACUGGGACUGAGACACUGCCCAGACUCCUACGGGAGGCUGCAGUCGAGGAUCAUUUGCAAUGGGCGAAAGCCUGACAGUGCGACGCUGCGUGGAGGAUGAAGGCCUUCGGGUUGUAAACUCCUGUCAUUCGGGAACAAGAGCGGGAGGGUGAAUAAUCCUUCCGAUUGAUGGUACCGGAAGAGGAAGCCACGGCUAACUCUGUGCCAGCAGCCGCGGUAAUACAGAGGUGGCGAGCGUUGUUCGGAUUUACUGGGCGUAAAGGGUGCGUAGGUGGUUCUGUGUGUCGGAUGUGAAAUCCCACUGCUUAACGGUGGAACUGCAUUCGAAACUGCAGGGCUAGAGUGCAGGAGAGGAGAGCGGAAUUCUUGGUGUAGCGGUGAAAUGCGUUGAUAUCAAGAAGAACACCGGUGGCGAAGGCGGCUCUCUGGAAUGUAACUGACACUGAGGCACGAAAGCUGGGGGAGCAAACAGGAUUAGAUACCCUGGUAGUCCCAGCCCUAAACGGUGUGCACUUGUUGUGGGAGGAAUUGACCCCUCCCGUGACGGAGUUAACACGUUAAGUGCACCGCCUGGGGAGUACGGCCGCAAGGUUAAAACUCAAAGAAAUUGACGGGGGCCCGCACAAGCGGAGGAGCAUGUGGCUUAAUUCGAUGCAACGCGAGGAACCUUACCUGGGCUUGACAUGCAGCUGCAGUCCCGAUGAAAGUCGGGAGGCCUUCGAGGGUGCUGCACAGGUGCUGCAUGGCUGUCGUCAGUUCGUGCCGUGAGGUGUUUGGUUAAGUCCAGCAACGAACGCAACCCCUGUGGCUAGUUGCCAACUUCGAUGAUAAGUCGAGGAGCACUCUAGACAGACUGCCCGUGUAAGCGGGAGGAAGAUGGGGAUGACGUCAAG
rnacentral:rRNA from 1 species